rnacentral:rRNA from 1 species
GGACUACUGGGGUAUCUAAUCCUGUUUGCUCCCCACGCUCUCGCGCCUCAGCGUCAGUAUCUGUCCAGGUAGCCGCCUUCGCCACUGGUGUUCCUUCCGAUCUCUACGCAUUUCACCGCUACACCGGAAAUUCCACUACCCUCUACAGUACUCCAGCUAUCCAGUAAUCAAUGCAGUUCCUAGGUUAAGCCCAGGGAUUUCACAUCAAUCUUAAAUAACCGCCUACGCGCCCUUUACGCCCAGUAACUCCGAUUAACGCUCGCACCCUCUGUAUUACCGCGGCUGCUGGCAC